AGCGGGGCUUCGGCCCCGUGGAAACUGGCGCACGGGUGAGUAACGCGUGGGAAUCUACCCCGGGGUGGGGAAUAACCGCUGGAAACGGCGGCUAAUACCGCAUACGCCUUGCGAGGGAAAGCUUUAGCGCCCUGGGACGAGCCCGCGUCGGAUUAGCUUGUUGGUGAGGUAACGGCUCACCAAGGCUUCGAUCCGUAGCUGGUCUGAGAGGAUGAUCAGCCACACUGGGACUGAGACACGGCCCAGACUCCUACGGGAGGCAGCAGUGGGGAAUAUUGGACAAUGGGGGCAACCCUGAUCCAGCCAUGCCGCGUGCGUGAAGAAGGCCCUAGGGUUGUAAAGCGCUUUCGGCGGGGAAGAUGAUGACGGUACCCGCAGAAGAAGCUCCGGCUAACUCCGUGCCAGCAGCCGCGGUAAUACGGAGGGGGCAAGCGUUGUUCGGAAUUACUGGGCGUAAAGGGCGCGUAGGCGGGAAGUCAAGUUAGGGGUGAAAGGCCUGGGCUCAACCUAGGAACUGCCUCUAAAACUGGCUAUCUAGAGUCCGGGAGAGGAUGGCGGAGUUCCCAGUGUAGAGGUGAAAUUCGUAGAUAUUGGGAAGAACACCAGUGGCGAAGGCGGCCAUCUGGACCGGCACUGACGCUGAGGUGCGAAAGCGUGGGGAGCGAACAGGAUUAGAUACCCUGGUAGUCCACGCCGUAAACGAUGUGUGCUAGCCGUUGGAUCACGUUGGUGUUUCAGUGGCGCAG
rnacentral:rRNA from 1 species